rnacentral:rRNA from 1 species
UACGUAGGGUGCGAGCGUUGUCCGGAAUUAUUGGGCGUAAAGAGCGUGUAGGCGGUUUGUCGCGUCUGCCGUGAAAAUCCGGGGCUCAACCCCGGACUUGCGGUGGGUACGGGCAGACUAGAGUGUGGUAGGGGAGACUGGAAUUCCUGGUGUAGCGGUGAAAUGCGCAGAUAUCAGGAGGAACACCGAUGGCGAAGGCAGGUCUCUGGGCCACUACUGACGCUGAGAAGCGAAAGCGUGGGGAGCGAACAGG